AGGAGGAACAGGAACUGGAUCAAAAGAAACCCGCCCCGGUAGAUCCGCACUAGAGGCCACACGUUCUCAUAGCGGAUGAACACUGUGCCUGGAGAACAAACAAAACAACAGGACAAAGGCGAUGGCGAGGAUGAUGAAGAUGCCACAGUAAAGACCAACACGAAACGUGGUCCAGGCCAAAGCAGGCUGAAGCAACACAGGUCUUGCCAGUGUGACGGUGCUGCAAUUCUGACCUGAGCGGCACCCAGCGGAGGAACUCGUAACCUCUUCAUCGCCCGUUGACGAUCUCCUCCCUCCAGCUCUGUGGUCACCAACGUCUGGAUGCACA